GGUUAAGCGACUAAGCGUACACGGUGGAUGCCCUGGCAGUCAGAGGCGAUGAAGGACGUGCUAAUCUGCGAAAAGCGUCGGUAAGGUGAUAUGAACCGUUACAGCCGGCGAUGUCCGAAUGGGGAAACCCAGUGCAAUUCGUUGCACUAUCGUUUGAUGAAUACAUAGUCAAACGAGGCGAACCGGGGGAACUGAAACAUCUAAGUACCCCGAGGAAAAGAAAUCAACCGAGAUUCCCCCAGUAGCGGCGAGCGAACGGGGAGCAGCCCGGAGUCUGAAUCAGCUUGUGUGUUAGUGGAAGCGUCUGGAAAGUCGCAGGGUACAGGGUGAUACUCCCGUACACUAAAAC
rnacentral:rRNA from 1 species